AAUUAAUAUUCUUCCCCAUCUGACUAAGAAGGCAACAGCUGAGCAACGUGAGAUCAAGAGCCAUAUUAAUUUAAACAGGGGCUGAAAGUGGCAUUUGAGAGAGAAGAUACUUCCUCUCGUAGUGGACACUUGUCUUUUCAGAAGAUUUAUACGACUGAGAGUCAAAACUUUUACCAGAGACUUUCAUAGUCAGUUUGAAUUCUGCAAAAUUUCUCUUUAUCUUCUGGAAUGUAUGCUCUAGACUUGGAGUGGCUCAAGCUCUUCGAUGUGAUCCUAUCAAUGUCAAGAGAAAGAAGCACUGAAGAGUCAUAAUUGUGUCCUGAUUUAUAAAUCGGAGACAGAGGGAGACGAAAACCACACUCCAGAAAGUAGCUUAAUCGGACUCACUACUAAGAUGUUAAAAGUGAAGAGGCUGGAAGAAUUCAACACGUGUUAUAACAGCAACCAGCUGGAGAAAAUGGCCUUUUUUCAGUGCAGGGAAGAGGUGGAGAAAGUGAAGUGUUUUCUGGAAAAAAAUUCUGGGGACCAGGAUUCAAGAUCUGGACAUAAUGAGAGUCUUGCUCUGUCACCCAGGCUGGAGUGCGGUGGUGUGAUCUUGGCUCACUGCAACCUCUGCCCCCCAAGUUCAAGCGAUUCUCCUGCCUUGGCCUCCCGAGUAGCUGGGACUACAGAUGGAAUCUUGCUGUGUCUCCAGGCUGGAGUGUAGUGGCGCGAUCUCGGCUCACUGCAACCUCUGCCUCCCGGGUUCAAGCAAUUCUCCUGCCUCAGCCUCCCGAGUAGCUGGGACUACAGGUGCCAGCCAUCACGCCCGGCUAAUUUUUUGUAUUUUUAGUAGAGAUGGGGUUUCACCAUGUUGGCCAGGAUGGUCUCGAUCUCCUGACCUCGUGAUCUACCCGCCUCAGCCUCCCAAAGUGCUGGGAUUAUAGGCGUGAGCCACCGCGCCCAGCCUAGUCUCUGCUUUUUUAAAAAAAAUGUUAGGACAGUGGUCCCUAAACUUGUCUGUGUAUUAGAAUCACCUGGGAAAUCUUUAAAAAUUCUAAGGACCAGGUAAAUUAAAUUAUAAUCUCUGGGAAUAGGACUGAUUUUUGUAUUUUUAGUAGAGACGGGGUUUUGCCAUGUUCACCAGGCUGGUCUCGAACUCCUGACCUCAGGUGAUCCACCCGCCUCAGCCUCCCAAAGUGUUGGGAUUACAGGUGUGAGCCACCACAUCCAGCCCAGACUAAUUUUUCUGAUGACAAAUGCUGCUUGUUGAUGUGAAUUCUGAUAUGGCACACACUUGAGCCUCACUUUGUUAGCUAUUAAUUUGUGUUACUGAAUUUACAGGCCUGGAAUACAAUUUGUGCUUCUUUUUAAAUAAAUUUCAUACUUUUUUUUUAAUGGACUUGUAAUCUACCUGAACUUGAAUUUGUUGAGGGUUUACGCUAAUGAAAAUAACAGAAAGACAAACUGUGAGAUAUAUCAUGCCAUUUAUAAUUAAUAAAUCACCAAACAGAGGCACAAACUUCAAGGGCUAUAAAAUGCCACACAUUUUCACAGACAGUUAAUAGUAAAUUAUUUGGCACAGACCCUUCUGUAGCUGGGUAGGAAGUUACUGUAUUUAGUUGCUUUCAAACUCGUAAUUUUACCUGUGGAAGGGUGGCCCUCUUUUGACUCUUUCAAGAACUAUUAUAAAACAUGAGAUGUUUGUGUGCAUGUGUUGGGGGGAUUAUGCCUUACCCUUCCAGUUUACAGAAAUGCUGCUGGUUUGUUUCUUUUUAAUACCAUUGGUCUGGUCCUCCUCCCCUCCCCACCUUUCUCACUGAUAAAAAUUCAAUGUACUGGUCUUUAUGAGUGAAGCUGACGGGAGUGUUUUUUCGUGUAUGUGGGUGGAUGUGAUCCAGGAAUGUAACCCAAGAUUUAGCUGCAUGUCCUGCCCUUUGAAGAGCCUUUUGUAGAGAGUUCUAGCUUUCCCUAAGAAGCCCUAGGACUUUUGUUCAAAAUGAGCGCCCCGUUUUCCCUCAUUCCUUGCUAAUAUGGUCUGUCUGCAAGAACAGUCCAAAGUAAUGUCAGUGGGAUGGUGGAAAGAGGACCACAUCGUGAGUCCAGAUAACUGGCCUUAGAAAGUUACUUUAUGGAUCAAAGGAGACUCGUGACUUCUAGCCAUAUCUAAAGGCGUUCUUAAUGUAAAAGAAAAACAUUCACAGACUUCCUUAUCAUAGCAGCCAUACUUCUGUUAUUUCCUGUUGAGAAAUUACAUGACUAGUAGC
rnacentral:lncRNA from 1 species